GAGAGGAGCAUGAGAGCAAGAGAACAGUUACCAGGGAGCUUUUUCUCUGGGUCUCACUGGGAGAACUUCACUCCAUGUCCCUGCCUGCAAGUCAAUGGAGCAGCAGCAGCAACCCAGGCAGAGUAAGCAAGGGACUCUGUAGCCGCAGACUCGCUGGCUGUCCCCCUUAGUACCAACACAGCUGUCUAAAAAGACUUGGCCAGGGAGAAAAAAGGAAAUGGCAAGUGGGAGUGGCCCCUAUCUCCAGCGCUUCCUUCUCCCAGCUGCACGGAGACCUUAUCUGUAUCCUAUUCUGCAGCUGUGUUUGCUGCUGGCCUGCUCACGUUCUCUGCAGCAUGGACAGCGGAUUCACAUGCUGGUGGCUGCAGACAGGUUUUACUCCUGUUCUCUAAGCUGUUCGGAAGCAGGUCAGAAAUAUCCUGUCGCUAGCAGUGUCCCCUCACGGGAGAGAUGCAGCCAUGACGCAGAGCAGCGUGCGAACGGGGAGUGGGGGCAAGAGACAGGCAACAUUAUUGCCUCCAGCUAGAGGCAUUGGAAAAUAAACAAGAACAAAUGCUUCCAAGUUCAGCUCUGCUGCUGCUCCAGCUGCACAACGUUCCCGGCAGCCUGGUGCCUCCGAAUCCACUUUCAGGGCAGUUUUCUAUGAAGUGGUCUUGGAGGACAGAGGUUGGAAGCUACAGUCUCCGCGUGCCCCCAAUCUAACCCUCGCCGUUGGUCUCACCUCAAUGCGUCCCGACGAGCUGCAUGUCUUCAAGCCCUCGGUUCCUCGGCUCUGCGGAGCAGGGUCCCCGAGCUGGGUGACACCAGAGCAGCAGUGAGCUCAGUCAUCAGGGAAGAGGAAACCACUACUCCCCGCAGUGCUCUGCUGAGGGCGUGAGAUAAAGUCCCCCUGCCCUUCCUGGAGCGCUAGGCAGGCAAAGAAUGCAAAUCGUGCAUAAACAAAAAUCUCCACUGACCAGUUCCUGGAACAGCCCCUCCAGCCUGGGCUAUGCCAGGGAAAGGGGCAAGGUGCAGUAUCUGGCCCUGCUCUCCUCCCCGCUGCUUCUGCUGCACUUUUCUCUGCAGCAUUUGAACACCGUGUAUUCCCCCGAAGAGAGAGCUCACUGCUGCCUGCACCCCUGGCCACAUCCUGCUCUCUGCAGACACACGGGCCAGGCUGCCGUGGGACUGCACGAAACUGCACCCUCAAGGCGCAGUCUGCUCUAAAUAUGAACGCACUCGCUGUGCCAGGGCUGCCCGGCUCUCAGGAACAGCCCCAGCCUUGGUCUCCUCACCCCUGCCCCUCACGCUGAGCUGGGCUGCUCGCCUCUCUGCGCGAAGGGCCCCUUGCGCUAGGCAGGAAGCUAGAGCUCUCGCAGAACGCGGCUACCUGCCUGUUCGAAGGACUCAGCCCCAGGGGACUAUUAACAUCAGUUCUCCAGGAACAUCGCUGGCUUCCUCUUUGCUUGCAGGGGUUCGCUUUGGUAGAGAGCCCCAGGCCAUUGGCAGGUGGUGUUCUGCAUGCUGCCGCAGGGGCGCGGGGCGCGGGGCUUUCGGGAAGUUUAGCUGUUCCUCAGCAUCCUGAGUGUGGGGGCUGGGCACCCCACUGGCACAUUCAGCAGUGCGGAGGCUCCCCACAGCACUGAGGGGGGAAGUUAGGGUAUCCAGGCACCAGUCACACCACGGCACACUCGGGAACCCCGCUCCACACUGGGGGUAGGAGACCGAGGGAGAAAGGAUCAGCUGGGCAGUGAGAAGGAACGCACAGCAGCUGGGGCCCAGGGGAAGGGCGAGAAAGGGGCGGGCGCAUCCAGGUUUUGCAGCUCCCGACAGGAGGUGUACGUGACAUGCACUGCAGCACCACACCCCACAUGCCAUGGGGACAGCGCACAAAGUAACGGAGGGAGAGGACGAGGAGGUGAGGCUGCCCCUGACUCAGAGACAAAGAACAGGCCAAUACUUUCCGAACAAAACUAGGAGAGGAGGAAGAGCUCCCUUGGCCUCACUGAGGUGCAGAUCUGCCAGCAGCACAGGCUCACCCCAGAACCCUGGGGAAGCUGAAUGGGAACCUGGAAAUGACGACACAUUAGCCAUGCCCUGCCAGGGUCACCACCAU